rnacentral:tRNA from 2 species
CGGGCCGUCGUAUACCGGUAGUAUUUGCGCUUUGGGAGCGUAAGGACUGGGUUCGAUUCCCAGCGGCCCGA